UUGAAGCGGGGAAAAGCUCAAAUUUAAAAUCUGGCGGUCUUCGGCCGUCCGAGUUGUAAUCUGGAGAAGCGUUUUCCGCGCUGGACCGUGUACAAGUCUCUUGGAACAGAGCGUCAUAUCAGGGUGARAAUCCCGUCUUUGACACGGACUACCAGUGCUAUGUGAUGCGCUCUCGAUGAGUCGAGUUGUUUGGGAAUGCAGCUCAAAAUGGGUGGUAAAUUCCAUCUAAAGCUAAAUAUUGGCGAGAGACCGAUAGCGAACAAGUACCGUGAGGGAAAGAUGAAAAGCACUUUGGAAAGAGAGUUAAACAGUACGUGAAAUUGCUGAAAGGGAAACGAUUGAAGUCAGUCGCGUGUGCUARAACUCAGCCUUGCUUUUGCUUGGUGCAUUUUCUAGUGUACGGGCCAGCAUCAGUUUUGGCCGCCGGAAAAAGGCCUUGGGAAUGUGGCACCUUCGGGUGUGUUAUAGCCCUUGGUUGUAUACGGUGGCUGGGACUGAGGAACAUAGCAUGCCUUUACGGCGGGGCUUCGGCCACCUUCAUGCUUUGGAUGCUGGCGUAAUGGCUUUAAACGACCCGUCUUGAAACACGGACCAAGGAGUCUAACAUGCCUGC
rnacentral:rRNA from 1 species